UCCUAAAGGCUGCUUUCCUUCAGAGAUGUAAGAUGGAUACGACCAUUUCAAGAGAAACAGUUAAAAAGAGCCACGUCCAGAGAAGGAAAGCAGCAUUUCCAGUUUUUAUUCUAAACACCAUGAAGAGAUCUCUGAGUGUGAAGCAGACCCAAGGGAAAAAUAACCCUCUUAGAUAUAGAUGUUAUUGCCAUUAAAUUACUACCUUAAGUAGAUGUACAUAUAGGAGAUACAGUUAAUUUCACAUGAAGAUGGGAAAGACCACGAAGGAUGAGUGGCAUCUUCUGUGGCUGUACAUACUCUGUACUAAGACAUGAGCUAUUUUUUUUCUCCAAGUUAAUAAUCUCCUUGCCGCUGAUAACAACACUCCAAUCCUUCCCUGCACUUUGGAACAGUAUAUAGCUAAACAAAAGAUGGAAAACAAACAAACAAACAAAAAAACACAGAGACUCUGGAGAAGAAAUUCAGUACAAUGAUUUCAUUUGCCUGGGUCACUUCGUUUUAUAAGUCAACAAUUGGGAACGCUGUAAUUAGUUACCAGCAUAGGGUAUUUUGUUUAGUCGUUUAUUGAUGAAAAAUCUGGCAUCAUUAAAACAUUACUUUCAGGUCACUUUUAA